GUCUACGGCCAUACCACCCUGAACGCGCCCGAUCUCGUCUGAUCUCGGAAGCUAAGCAGGGUCGGGCCUGGUUAGUACUUGGAUGGGAAAAAUGAGGAUAGUUUAGGGGACUUUUGGGG
rnacentral:rRNA from 1 species